rnacentral:rRNA from 1 species
AUAGCUUAUUGCACCAACAAAUAGUUGAUGUAAUAUUGACUCUGUCAAAUAAAAUUCUAGGUAGAAUAAUGAUAAUGACAUUGUCUGCCUAUAUGUCUUGACCAAAUUACGUGCCAGCAGUCGCGGUAAUACGUAGAAGACUAGUGUUAUUCAUCUUUAAUAGGUUUAAAGGGUACCUAGACGGUAGAUCAAGCCUUCACAGGGACUAAUUUACUAGAGUUACUUACGAGGGGGUAUUAAAGUACUGCAGG